rnacentral:rRNA from 1 species
AGUAAUGCGUUGGGAAUCUAGCUUAUGGAGGGGGAUAACUACGGGAAACUGUAGCUAAUACCGCGUAGAAUCGAGAGAUGAAAGUGUGGGACCUUCGGGCCACAUGCCAUAGGAUGAGCCCAAGUGGGAUUAGGUAGUUGGUGAGGUAAAGGCUCACCAAGCCGACGAUCUCUAGCUGGUCUGAGAGGAUGACCAGCCACACUGGGACUGAGACACGGCCCAG